GACGAACGCUGGCGGCGUGCCUAACACAUGCAAGUCGACCUUAGUGGCGAACGGGUUAGUAACACGUGGGUUACCUGCCCAUCACAAGGGGAUAACAUUUGGAAACAGGUGCUAACACCGUAUACUGAUGGAUGGACCCGCGGUUCAUUAGCUAGUUGGUGAGGUAACGGCACACCAAGGCGACGAUGCAUAGCGGGCCUGAGAGGGUGAUCGGCCACAUUGGGACUGAGACACGGCCCAGACUCCUACGGGAGGCAGCAGUAGGGAAUCUUCGGCAAUGGACGAAAGUCUGACCGAGCAACGCCGCGUGAGUGAAGAAGGUUUUCGGGUCGUAAAGCACUGUUGUUAGAGAAGCGGUAUCUAACCAAGAAGCCACGGCUAACUACGUGCCAGCAGCCGCGGUAAUAC
rnacentral:rRNA from 1 species